rnacentral:rRNA from 1 species
AGCGAACGCUGGCGGCAGGCCUAACACAUGCAAGUCGAACGGACCCUUCGGGGUUAGUGGCGGACGGGUGAGUAACACGUGGGAACGUGCCUUUAGGUUCGGAAUAGCUCCUGGAAACGGGUGGUAAUGCCGAAUGUGCCCUUCGGGGGAAAGAUUUAUCGCCUUUAGAGCGGCCCGCGUCUGAUUAGCUAGUUGGUGAGGUAAUGGCUCAACACGGCGACGAUCAGUAGCUGGUCUGAGAGGAUGACCAGCCACAUUGGGACGGAGACACGGCCCAAACCCCUACGGGAGGCAGCAGUGGGGAAUCUUGCGCAAUGGGCGAAAGCCUGACGCAGCCAUGCCGCGUGGAUGAUGAAGGUCUUAGGAUUGUAAAAUCCUUUCACCGGUGAAGAUAAUGACUGUAGCCGGAGAAGAAGCCCCGGCUAACUUCGUGCCAGCCGCCGCCGCAGUAA